CAGUAAUAAGUUUUACAUGCUGUUAUUAACAGAAGACAUUUCUCUUUUUCAAUUUCUUAUUAGCACAUCCGAAAACUUUUCCAUUAGCGAAAGAAUUAUUUGACCUGUAGAAAUUAAUAUGAAGAUCUUGACACGGCGUUGCAAAAGGUUUUGAGCAAUCCUUCAAAUUACUUCCUGGUCAGUGAAGUAUUAUAGAAAAGAGAUUGAACACUUCGUCAGCGACAAUUAAACAGUAAUGAUGUAUAUAUUUGGUAUGCUUAAUGUUCCUCAGGUGAUCAAAGAGCUGACGGAUUUUCGCUGAAAUCAAUUAAGCCUCAUAACUUCAUUAUACCCGGGUACGCAGGCCCGUAUAGAAAGUCAGCUAAUUAAUUCUCACGCACUGUCGCCGUUUAUAAUUACACAACGUUAAAGAGAGUACAUCAUUAACUGUAUAUGUUUCAAGGGUUGCGGUAAUCGAAUGGUUGCGUCAUUGAGAUGUACACAUCCGUAAUGAUUUGUAGGUAUUAAAAAUUGCGUACAGUUCCAUUAGGUCUGUAACAAACUAUUUAUUCAACUAUUUCAAAUUUUAGAACCAGCUUUAACAUCUUUAUUUGCGUGCAGGUUCUACGAGGCCUUCGACAUCAAAGGGUUGAAGGAUUGAAAAUAAGGAGAAAACGUUGUUUUACACAAGAAGAAAGGGGGCAGUAAAGAUCAAGGUUCGUUGAAUUAGAUUCCAUCUGAUUUCGAAGUGCGUGACAUUAACACCUCGCUUCUGGAUCGAGCGCGAUGCUCUCCUCAAUGGAUGCCAGCAUUCUUCUGUUCCAUCUCCACGGCCGUCCUCUGCCCCGUUGUCCUUCCCUCUCUUCGGCGCACAUUGUGUUCGAGACAUUCGUGACAUUUCAUCCUCCUCGAUCUUAAAGUGCUAUGCUAAGAGAUCGUUCUUAAGCGGGUUACGUGAUCCGUAAUCGACCGCCUUGGUUCUACCAUCUUGAGCUUGAAACAUUUCUGGAGUUUUCCUUUUUCCUUCUUUUGAACGAGGUCUGGGGACACUCUUGUUCCACUUAUUCGCCUCUGAAGUUUCAAGCUCUCAGAUCACGUCAUGCAGUCACAAAAUCUCCAGGUUUCAAAGUUAAAAAAUUUUGAAAUCUCAAAGUGUCAAAUCAUAACCUUCAAUUUUUAUAUAUAACCUCUUAUGAACCUUCGUUUGUAACCUCUGAUCUGUGCAACGCCAUGUAUCUUAUAAUAUACGGUGUAUUUUUCUCUAAUCGCUAAUUUAAUUCAAUGAUUGCAGGAUGAAGAAUAAAAAAGAAGAAAAUUGGUGGCCAUCAUUGAUCCUCCGUUCCCCGUGAAAUUUGAUAUUUAAUAAAUCUGACCGCGUCAACGCUUGCAGAGAACGUCGAAUAUCCCCGUAUUCAGUUUCACCUCUGUUUCCCAUAAAUUGUCGUGCGUCCACGUGCCGAUAAAUUCACCAGGAUAAAUUCAUGGGGGCUGACCGAAGCGCGUGUUAGCGCGGCCGUAAAGCAAUUCAAGCGACGAGGAUGAUGCACCGGUGCGUGACGCGUGUAACGACGAUUUUACAAACUUGGAAAUGUCGGUGAGAUUUUGCGUGAUAAUACGAGGAGAAACUGAAGAAAUUGUUAACAAUUGCUUGAGUAAACAGUUAAUUACCAUCUUGAUACAUUGAAAAGAGAAUAAUGACAAGUAACAGAAUUAACUGAGAACUACAGUCAGAAGGAAAAAAGGGACUUUUUAUUGAGGGUAUUAAAGAUUCCAGAUGAAGAAGAAUGCAAAUUGUCCGAGAAGAAAUGCAAUAAAGAGGGAAAGGAGAGAAACCCUUGAAUAUAAAAUGCAAAGUAGAAGAAAAGUUAUCCUGGUUAUACCAGAGACAGAAGCGGAAUGAAAUGAAAGAAAACGAAAAUUAAUUGAUGAAAAAGAAAGUUAUCCUUUGAAAUGUUAAAAUUAUAAGAAACCCAGAAACACAUAAAACAAAAAGGAAAAGGAAGUCCAUUUGAACGAUUGCGUAACUUGAAUUACCAUAUUAUAUUUUAUCGUCAUUAAAUUACACGAAUUCGUUUGAAUACGAAUUCCAUUUUCAUUGUUCCCAAUUCCAAAAGUCUCAUUAACUCAGUGGCACAGACCACCGGAGGACGUUCGUAAAACAAACUUUUACGUCAUUUCCUUGAACGUUCCGUUAAAUUAAAUGGUCGUAUAAAUUCGAAUCCGGUUUACGCAAUCGUUGUUUUGAAAAAUGCAAGAAAAAAAGAACGAGAAAGAGAAGAAGAAAAGGGAACCGACUUUAUUACCAAGGGAGAUCGGACGUUUUGAUCAUUCACGGAUUCCUCAAAGGAAAUUACACACGGCGAGGCACAAUAAAACAAGCAUAAAAACACCUUCAUCCUUAUUUUUAUGCUUUCGUUUAAUUUUCUUCUUUUUAUAUUAUUUUACAUAAGACGUAGAAAGUUCCCGGUCCUGUCUGGUUAUAAAAGAAUAAUUACGAGCAAAACAGGUACCAGGCAGCUUUUAUCAGGAAAAUAUCCUUCUUUCGAUGGUCGUGGAAAAGAGAGACAAAAAAGGAUACAGCUUUAGAAUCGAUUUCAUACGACGUGCAUUUAAGUCGUUUAAUUAUCCCCCGAGCAUGACUGAUUGACGAUAACCCGGUGAACUAUAAUAGCAUUCCGCUGUUCGUCUCCUUUAUGAGAACAAACAAAAGAGGCCAGUUGCUAAGUUGCACCGUGAUGUGUUUAAAGUUUAAGGCGAAGUAAAAGUUCACCGUGGCGUCCUUUGUGUUAACAAACGAGAUCGGUAUGCGAAGAAAAAUUCGACAGUAACGAUGUUCCUAUCUGCAAUGAUGACCUCAGAAUAUAUACUAUUGAUGGCACACUUCUCAACAUUUCAGUUCUUACAGUAUACAAAUUAUGUGUCUACACAGUAACAGCGAAUGUGGUGAUACGCACACAAAAAUAUGCAAGGACAUUCACCACCUAUAAGAUAAUAAAAUCAUGUAGAGUAUCAAAAUAUAAAGAAUGAAUAUCAAGUAACAAUACUUCUAUAAAUUUUGUUGAAUGCUCUUCCAAUUACUGCAAUAAAAGUUGCUACAUAAUUGAUGUUAUACCUUCAGCGAAGAGGUCUCAACAAACUCAGAUCAGUAGAAGAGAUAUUCUUCAACUACUCUUCAAGAAGAGUUUACCUUGCAAAGGAUCCCUAAUGGUCCUACGCCUCCAGUCACGUUAGUCCUUGCUUGUCCCACUCGUUUCAGGAUUUAGAUCAGGCUCACUUACAUAAGAGAGAUCACGCAAGCGAUCAGCCACGGUCUCGGGUGGCGAGACUUUAAGGUUGAGGCGACCGAAAUGUCAUGAGCGUUUCGAAUGAUGUGAGAAGAGAAUAAGAUGUGCAUUUACGGCGAUGAAGAUAGGUUGAGAAAAAAGAAGGAUGAUAAUAGGACAUGUUUUACAAGCCUCCACACAGCUGAGCAAGCGUGAUGAACUCGUUUUAUGGAUUUGGCAGAAGUCUCUCUUCUUUAAGUGAUGAAACCUGAAGCAGAUCGAAUCUGGAGAUUACUGUUGUUUCUUGUUCUAAUUGACGUUCGAAUGCUAUUUAUGCUAUGAAAACUUGAAUGGACCUCUUGUGAUGUAGAACUGUGAUACGCUGCUGAAUCUAUCAAUUAGAUUUUGCAGACAUUAGAGCUUUCAAUUUCUUGUUAUUAGGUUAGAAAUCUUAGUAGUUAAAAACUUUAAAUUAAAUUUUAUAAUUUGGAACUGGUAGUCUCGGAACUUUGAAAUUUGUAGGUUAAGUACUCUAAAGUUUAAAAGUCAAGGACAUACAAGGUUCUAGACAGCUUACAUUUAAGUCAUGAAACUUAAGCGUCCAGAACUCUCAUAAUAGUGGUUGAGAUUAGAAUGUAUCUAUGUACUUCUUCACAGUUCAUAAAAGCUCGUUAUGUAUCAUUAAACGGUAUCUCCACCGUUCAUGGGAUAAAGGAUACUGUAAAGUGUACUAUGGUUCCAUAAUGAUGCGUGACGCUUCUAAGCGAGCCUCCCGUCCUCGUUUCAACAUGGUGCUCCAUGGAAAUCACCAGUUUCCUUUUUCGUACAUGAUAAUCAGUCGAGCAUUUUGACAUUGACAUUUAUCGAUCAGCAUUGCAAUUGCUAAUUUCUCGGUUUAAAUAAUAUAGCUGCUCACUAGCUUGCGUUCACUUAAGCAACGAAUAAUCUCGUAAAUCUUGUGGAUCUCACAUUUCAUUUUCAAUAAUCAUACCUUCAUAACCUAACAGGUGAAUAAUUGUAACCAGGAUGAGGUGAAUACCACAAGAAAAAUACAAUUCAAUUUGAUGAAACUGCUCCCCAAAGGUGUUCUGAACA